UAGGGAAUCUUCCGCAAUGGACGCAAGUCUGACGGAGCAACGCCGCGUGAGUGAAGAAGGUUUUCGGAUCGUAAAGCUCUGUUGUAAGAGAAGAACGAGUGUGAGAGUGGAAAGUUCACACUGUGACGGUAUCUUACCAGAAAGGGACGGCUAACUACGUGCCAGCAGCCGCGGUAAUACGUAGGUCCCGAGCGUUAUCCGGAUUUAUUGGGCGUAAAGCGAGCGCAGGCGGUUAGAUAAGUCUGAAGUUAAAGGCUGUGGCUUAACCAUAGUACGCUUUGGAAACUGUUUAACUUGAGUGCAAGAGGGGAGAGUGGAAUUCCAUGUGUAGCGGUGAAAUGCGUAGAUAUAUGGAGGAACACCGGUGGCGAAAGCGGCUCUCUGGCUUGUAACUGACGCUGGGGCUCGAAAGCGUGGGGAGCAAACAGGAUUAGAUACCCUGGUAGUCCACGCCGUAAACGAUGAGUGCUAGGUGUUAGACCCUUUCCGGGGUUUAGUGCCGUAGCUAACGCAUUAAGCACUCCGCCUGGGGAGUACGACCGCAAGGUUG
rnacentral:rRNA from 1 species